rnacentral:miRNA from 1 species
UGGGGGACAGCAGGGGCAUCAGU